rnacentral:rRNA from 1 species
AANAAAACGACUCUCGGCAACGGAUAUCUCGGCUCUCGCAUCGAUGAAGAACGUAGCGAAAUGCGAUACUUGGUGUGAAUUGCAGAAUCCCGUGAACCAUCGAGUCUUUGAACGCAAGUUGCGCCCGAAGCCUUCGGGCCGAGGGCACGUCUGCCUGGGUGUCAUGC